rnacentral:rRNA from 1 species
AUUGAACGCUGGCGGCAGGCCUAACACAUGCAAGUCGAGCGGAUGAAGGGAGCUUGCUCCUAGAUUCAGCGGCGGACGGGUGAGUAAUGCCUAGGAAUCUGCCUGGUAGUGGGGGAUAACGUCCGGAAACGGGCGCUAAUACCGCAUACGUCCUGAGGGAGAAAGUGGGGGAUCUUCGGACCUCACGCUAUCAGAUGAGCCUAGGUCGGAUUAGCUAGUUGGUGGGGUAAAGGCCUACCAAGGCGACGAUCCGUAACUGGUCUGAGAGGAUGAUCAGUCACACUGGAACUGAGACACGGUCCAGACUCCUACGGGAGGCAGCAGUGGGGAAUAUUGGACAAUGGGCGAAAGCCUGAUCCAGCCAUGCCGCGUGUGUGAAGAAGGUCUUCGGAUUGUAAAGCACUUUAAGUUGGGAGGAAGGGCAGUAAGUUAAUACCUUGCUGUUUUGACGUUACCAACAGAAUAAGCACCGGCUAACUUCGU